rnacentral:rRNA from 1 species
UACGAAGGGGGCUAGCGUUGCUCGGAAUCACUGGGCGUAAAGGGUGCGUAGGCGGGAUGUUAAGUCAGGGGUGAAAUCCCGAGGCUCAACCUCGGAACUGCCUUUGAUACUGGGGAUCUCGAGUCCGGGAGAGGUGAGUGGAACUGCGAGUGUAGAGGUGAAAUUCGUAGAUAUUCGCAAGAACACCAGUGGCGAAGGCGGCUCGCUGGCCCGGUACUGACGCUGAGGUGCGAAAGCGAGGGGAGCAAACAGG